GCGGGGUUGGCGGAGCAGUUACGCGCUCGCCUGCAGAGCGAGUUAGGGGGGUGCAACUCCCUCACCCCGCU
rnacentral:tRNA from 4 species